UUACUUCGGCCGGAUUGAGAUGCAAGGUGGGUCAGAGGGGGCGUCGGAUGGGGAUCAGGUGCGAAACGGCUGAAGCUUCAAGGGAGAAAUUCGAGUACCAGGCUGAGAGGAAACCAUGUUGAGUGUCUCAAUGAGCAAACUAUUGAAUGCGAGUGAGCACCAUUUCGGGCGUUAGCUACACUAGAGGUUUCAUCAGAUGCCGCUGACAGAGCAUCCACUGAAGCCGAUCUACCUCCUCCUCGAGAGCCCAUGAGUGCGGAUGUGGAGGUGGGAUCCUCCAGCCAAGCUAGAGCAUCUACCGAAGGAGGCUCUUCAGUGGUGUCUCCUCCCGCCAAGCUAGUCAAGGAAGUCGCACAAGGCACCUCCCCUCCAGUCGAAAGUGCUCCUCUUAUCUAGAUCGAAGAGGUAACAGAAGAGCGAAUCGAGGGAGACACCGAGUGGUGGCCCCCUCUAAAGUAGUGGCCAACUCCUCUACCACUAAUAAAAAAAAUGUAAAUGCCUCACAUUGUUCGGCCGAGUGGUGGCCCCCUCUGAAGAACCAUUUCACCGACUAGGCGCAGGCAUUAUGAUAAGAGAACCUUCGGCAAGUUCUCACCAGGGCUAGAUGAUCAACUUCUGAGACACCGAUUGGCGUACCCUCGGGCUCAAUAGGAGGGGAGUCUAUUCCUGAGAUUGAGGCAUCUACAGGAUCAACAUUUCCUCAGAUUCCCGCAAGCCCAAGUCUAUUUGAAGAAUUGUCGCGUCAAGCUGGUCCGCUGAAGCUGUUUAACACUGGUGAUUAUGCUAAGUCUUUACACAAUUUGGAUGUAAUCGUGGUUAGCCGCGCCGCUCUAAUGCAUCCAUUCCUAAGGUAUACACUUGAAAUUUAGCACUGCUAAUUUGUUUUGCGCCAAUUUGCAAACGUACCCUUUGCAGCUAUGGACAGAACAUCUACACAUCCAUAACUGUAUCCCAAACUUGGUGAAACAGAUCGGACAAUUGCUGAAAUAAGUUGUCGAUCUGGAGGCAUGUUUAUUAGAAUUAUCCUGCUUAUUGGAGGAAGUUGCCCCAGGCAAAGGAAGAAAGUCACCUACAAGCAAACUUAGCCACUAGACUCCACGAGAAGCUAGAACUAUCUAGAGCACGAGUAUUCUCCAUACAAGCUGAGCUGGACGAAGCUAUGCAAAGAGAAAAAACCUCUUAAUUACAAAUAAGCUCGUUGACAGUUGUUCGGGAUGAACUCUCUAUUGGGGUUACCGCUCAGGAGACUCGAUUUGCUGACCUGGGCAAAGAAAUUUACGACCUGCACAACCUAAUAAACCAAGCGAAAGUAGAGGCUACCUCUUCUCAAUAAUAAGCAGCAGAAGCCAUUCAAAGUCAGGUAACAGCACAGACACAGCUGGAGAGGUGCAAUUUGAACUGACCUCCUACAAGGCUCGAGAGGAAGAAUGUCGAGCGAACUUUAAAGUGGAGUUCCUGAAAUCUGAGGAGUACUUUGGGUUGUUAGCUGCUCAAAUCUUGAAAAGAAUGAAAUAGGGCUUUGAACGAGCUAUUCGUCAGUUUAUCCAAGUCGGGCUAAUAUCCCAAGGUAAUGAACUAGAGUUUUUGGACAUAGGUAAAGUAUGUGAAGAAUUACCUGAGUCAGAGAAGGCUCUAUAAAUGUUUGAUGACUCCCCAAACUUGACAAGCCAUAAGGCUUUUUGAUUUUCUUGUAGAUAAGUUGUUUAUCUAUGAGCUAUUUUGCUUGGAUUUCUCAUUCAAAUAUGUUGAUAGAUUGUUGUUUCAUGCACAUAAAUGUUUGAUCGAGAACAAUACUAUAUUCUUGAUCAAUAUCACAACCACCAUCCCGAGUGCAGAACACUUAGCUGGAUUUAGACUUUAUAGGAAAAUCCCGUUCGGGAAGGUUGAACCCUUGCAUAUGAGAAUGACUUUAAAUAGCUUCCAAGCUUCCGCUCGGGGAAGGUUGAACCCUCUCAUAGGAGGAUAACUUUAUUAGCUUCCACUCAGGGAAGGUUGAACCCUCGCAAAGGUGGAUAACUCUAUUAGCUUCCGCUCGGGGAAGGUUGAACCCUCGCAUAGGAGGAUACUAGCUUCCGCUCGGGAAGGUUGAACUCUCGCAUAGGAAGAUGACUUUAUUAGCUUCCGCUUGGGGAAGGUUGAACUCUCGCAUAGGAGGAUUCGCUCGGGAAGAUUGAACCCUCACAUAAGAGGAGAACUGUUAUUAUCUUCCGCCCGGGAAUAUUGAACCCUCACAUAAGAUAUUCGCAACCUAUAUGUUAAUUAACCAAAGUUGGAGCUUUUGUUUCUGUAAGAUUAAACAUACUUAAACAAAAAAAAGUAGGCAAUAAAUAAGGGAUAUUAACCCUUAUGAACCUCUGUAAGACUGUAAAUGAUUGGCGUUCCAGGGUCAGGAUAUUUUUCCUCUGUUGAGUUCUUCCAAAUAACAACUCCCCGUACUCAGCUUCCUGGUAAUCCGGUAAGGACCUCCCCAUUGUGGCUCCAACUUAUUAACAUCACCAACUGAAUUAAUCCUUCUCUACACUAGAUCUCCAACUUGAAAUGAUCGGGGGAUCACCCUUUUGUUAUAUGUUUGCCUCAUCCUUUGUCGCUGUAAGCCGAGCCACAGCUUUAUCUCCGACUUCAGUUACUAAGUCAAGGUCAAUGAGGCGCUGCUCGGUAUUAUUCGCUUCCUUGUAAUUUUGUCGCCGAACAGAUUCUUCUCCAACCUCUAUUGGUACAACGGCUUCCCCUCCAUAUACUAAGUGAAAAGGAGUUUCACCAGUACUUUCUCUUGGAGUUGUACGAUAUGCCCAAAGAAUGCUUGGGAUUUAUUCAACCCAACUACCUUUAACCUGAUCCAAUUUGAUUCUAAGACCUCUAAUGUUUUCCCGAUUCACAACUUUAGCCUGCCCAUUACUUUGUGGGUAAGCUACAAAUGUGAAAGUUUGUUGAAUACCUAAUCCUUCACACCAUUCUUGAAGCUUACAUCCUUGGAAUUGCCUUCCAUUGUCUGAUACAAAUUUGUGAGGAACCCCAUAUUGGCAAAUAAUGUUUUGCCAUAAAACCUUCAUAACCGCUUCUUUUGUAAUUCGCGCUAGGGCUUCAGCUUCCACUUACUUUGAAAAUUAGUCAACUAUGACCAAUAGAAACUUCUUCCACUGUGGCUCGAUCGGGAAUGAUUUCACUAUAUCCAUCUCCCACUGAUCAAAUGGAUAAGAGAGAAGUAUUUAAUAGUUUGGUAGGGCGAUGAAACAGUGGUUGAUGCCUUUAACAAUGCUCACAAGUAGCAACAAAUUUGGUUGUAUCUGCUUAUAAUGUUGGCAAAAAGUAAUUGGCCAAUAGAAGCUUGCGAGCCAUAGCUCUUCCUCCUAUAAGACUGCCACAGAUGCCUACAUGAAUCUCCCUCGUGACAUAAUCAGUGCCAUUGGGCCCAAGAUAUUUGAGAAAAGGACGAGCAAAAGCUUGGAAGUAUAAAUGCUCCCCUAUCAUUGUAUACCAAGGGGCUCUCCUCCUUAAUAAAUGAGCUUCGGAUGAAUUAGCUCGUAAUGCGCCGUGUUGGAGGAAAGAAUUAUAGACGUCCUACAAUCUAUGUCUUGCCUGUCAAUCUAGUCUAUGUGCGCAACAUAUAAAGUGUGAGCGACUGGAUCCUCUUUAGCCCAAGUGGCCAAGACACUUGCCAUCUUCUCCAAUUCAUCUGCCUUGAGGUUGUCCUAUCGGGGUAUUUUCUUAAGGGUUACCUCUUGAAAAUCGGUCAUUAACUUUUCAUAAACUUCCGCAUACCACCUCUAUCGCUCGUUUCGGAUCUCGAAGGUACCCUCCAAUUGCUGGGCUAUCAGUUGUGAAUAAUCAGAGUAUAUAAUUAUCCGAGUGGCUCCCACUCUUUUUGCCGCUUGAAGACCAACCAACAGGGCCUCAUAUUUCGCUUCAUUAUUGAACGCUCGAAAGGUAAGCCGAACGGCUAAUUGCAAAAUGUCCUGUCGAGGAGAGAUUAGCAAUACUCCCACUCCACUAGCCAUGCGAGCCAUCCACAUAUACUUUCUAAGUUUUGUCUGAGUUGGUAUCAGAAAUUUCCAUCAUAAAAUUGACUAGAGCUUGUGCUUUAAUUGUCGUAUGAGGUUGAUAUUGAACAUCAUAUUCUCCAAGCUCCGUUGUCCAUUUUACUAGGUGUCCUGAGACUUUAGGGUUGAUCAGGAUCUGACCAAGCUGGCUAUUCGUAAGGACAAUGAUGGGAUGAGACAGAAAAUAUGGCCUCAACCACAUAACGGUUAAGGCCAAUCCUAACACUAACUUCUCUGGCACGGGAUAUCUACUUUCUACAUUUUUUAAUAAAUAGCUAUGGAAAUAAAUUGGGUAUUGAACUGUACCUUCUUCCCACAAUAAGACUAAUCCAACAGUCUGCUCAGUUGCCGAUAAAUAUAAAAAUAAUGUUGCUCCUACUAUAGGUUUGGAUAAUACGAGUAGAUCAACUAAAUAUUCCUUGAGCUUGUUGAAGGCUUGAUCACAUCUGGCGUCCCACUCAAAUUUGGAUGCUUUACGGAGGACUUUGAAAAAUGGUAGACUUUGAUCGGCCAUUCGGGAGAUAAAUCUAGACAGAGCUGUUACUCGACCUACUAAUCUUUCUUGAAGAUUUCGCGAAGGAGCCAUACGCUGCAGAGCUUCUACCUUUUAUAGGUUAGCCUCGAUGCCCCGUUCAGUCACCAUAUGCCCCCAAGAAAUGCCCACUCUUUACUCCAAAGACACACUUCUUUGUGUUUAAUUUGAGCCUAAGUCUCCUCAAAGUAUUACAAGUCUUUUGAAUGCCCGUAAUUAAAUCUUCACUUGGAUUGUUUUUAUGAGUAUGUCAUUCGCAUAGACUUUCAGAUUUCGUCCGAUUUGGUAUUUAAACACCUGAUCCAUCAUCCUCUGAUAAGUGGCUCUUGCGUUUUUAAGACUGAACGACAUAACGGUGUAGCAAAAUGUCCCGUCUGCAGUGACAAAACUUACUUUUUCUUGAUCACUAGGAGCUAAUGGGCUUGAUGAUAGCCCUGAUAAGCAUCCAAUAUAUAAAUAUACUCACACCCAGAGGCUGAAUCUACCAUCUAGUCUAUGCGAGGGAGGGGAUAACAAUUCUUCGGGCACGCUCGAUUGAGGUCCUGAAAGUCAAUAUAGACACGCCAUUUAUCACCUGGUUUUGGUACUAACAUAACGUUUGCCAACUAACUUAGGAAUUGUUCCUCUCUUAUAUGUCCUGCCUCAAGGAGUUUGUCUGCCUUUACUUGGAUGAUCUCAUCUUGCUGAGCACUAAAAUGUCUCCUUCUUUGUUUGUCUGGUCGGGAAUCAGGAAAUAUAUUUAAUUUGUUCUCUAUCAAAAAUACCUUUGACUUCAUUUGCUGACUAGGAAGAGACAUCAUAGUUUUUCCUCAAGUAGUAUUCCAACUUUUGCUUUAAGUGUGGUUCCAGAUCGGCAGAUAUUCAGGUAAUGCUAUCUUCCUGCUCAGGAUGGAUGCAAAUCUCCUCUUGUUCAGCUUCCUUCGAUCGAUGAGGGUUCUCAUUUUCAACCGGUCGGGGCAAGGGUUCCAGCUUUUACUUUAAGCGCGGUUCCAGAUCGGCAAAGAUUCGGGUGACGUCGUCUUCCUGCUCAAGAUGGAUGUGAAUCUCCUCUUGUUCAUCUUCGGUCGGUGAGAUUUCUCAUCUUCAGCCGGUGGGGCAAGGGAAGGUCUUGGGCAAUUUGAAAAGUUUCAGAGUUCUACGAACCUUUCGGGAUUCUUGCCGAACAAUAUCCUCGUAACAUUUUCGGGAUGCUAGUUGAUCACCUCUCACUUCCAUCACUUGGGGUUACCCAUUGGAAAUUUGAUCUUUUAGUGAUAAGUGGAAACGACUGCUUGGAAACCAUUUAGUGCGGGUCUCCCCAAAAUUACAUUGUAGGAUGAAGUGAUGUCUACCACCAUAAAAGGUGUUCUCCUGGUCCUCUCCAGAGCAGCGUCCCCGAGUGAUACCGAGAGGGAAAUCACCUUGCGCGGUUGUACUUGAUGUCCAGUAAACCCGAUCAAUGGAGUAGCUAGGAGUUGCAACUCUUCAUUAUCAAUUUACAUUUGAUCCUGCUCUAAGAUCCUCAAGGUUGACUCGCUGGCUUACUUGUAAGAAGGUUGACCACUCUAGGGACCCUGUCAGUAUCUGAUUUCUUUUUGGAAGAAGAAAAUAUAUCCUUUUUUUCUCUUCUUAGCACUAUCCUUUUAUACCUUUUUGGUGGACUUUUCUUCUUCCUCUAAUUAAUGAUAUUGUAUUAAGUAUAGAGGAUCUUUGUUUUUGCUUCUUCUAUGUAUUUAAUGAAGCUAUAAUAUUUGCAUGAAGCUCCCGUUAUACGGGGUCUCAGGGAAGGAUCCAUUGUACGUAGCCUUACCUUACUUUUUGCAAGAGACUGUUUCCAGGAUUCGAACCCGUGACCUUUCGGUCACAAAGUAACAACUUUACCGUUGUGCCAAGGCUCCCUUUCCCCAUGCACUAAGGGAUUAAUAAUAGGUAUUUAAUGUAGGCGGCAUUAAUUCACAGAAAUAGUGAUAUAACAACAUUUAUCUAGUCGGUGACUCAACUACAAGAGACUGGUCAUAUAGUGUCUCAAGGAUAUGCUCUUGGACACAUGCGAGCGUCAUGUCCAUUCCCGAUCGACUUACUGAACGCCCGAUCGGAGGUACGUUCGCCCAAUCGGGAGGUACAACUACCGAUCGGCUAGAACAAGGCUUGUAUCAACUGUGACUUUGAUGAACCCCGAUCAGGAGGCACUAUAGCUGGUCGGCUGAACAAGGUUUAUAUUGACCGUGGUCGUGAUUCUGACCGUCACAUCAUUGCUUAUGUUGACCACUAUGCCAUUCUUUUCAUUGACUUCUUGACACCACGUGGCUCCCUCUUUGAAUCGCCACAUCAGUCACAAAGAGGUGUUUCUCAGGGAACUUGUAAGGUUGGUUUAAAUAUUUGUAUUUUAUCCUGUAUGUUGAUUAUAGUAACAGAUUGCUGAUAAAAAAAUGUGAUAUUUUUCUAGCCGAUUUUCUUUCUAUAUUUGUUGGAGAUACAAUAUAAUAUCAUUAUUUGGGUAUAUAUGGUCAACUAAGGUUAAGAGUUAUAGUUAUGUAUUCUGUUGCCCUUUUUUCACAAUCGGUACAUAUUCUAUCAUCUUAAAACUAAUACUACAAAAAAAAAAAAAAGUAACAUCAUUUCCUUAAUAUGGUCUCAAGUGGGAAAGCUUGAUGUAUAUAUAUAUAUAUAUAUAUAUUACUUCCUUUAACUGCAAUGUUAGUUCAGUCCAUCUUUGUUGCAGUCUUAGAUGGAUGUGCUGAAAACAUCAUUUUGCAACAAGUGAUAUGGUAGCUCUGAAUGAUGUUUUACUCAUCUUCAGUGACAUUAACGUGCUCCAAAAAAAAUGCUACAGAAAUUUGUUGGAGUUGUGUACUUUUGUUGAACCUAAGUAUGUUUUUGCAUUUAUGUUGUGAUUGCUGGCUGGUAUACCAGAUUUUUAUGAGGUUGAAGUUGCCUUCCAUGUAAAAGAACAAUCAUCUUUUCAUUCUCUUUUAGCUGUACUGAGUUUUUUUUUUUUGGCUUCAUGAAUUAUUGCUCAUAAGAUAUAUACACAUUCGAGAAGUGUUUUUAGCACAAUGAAGAUGGUUGCUUUUGUUGGUAGCAAAAAGGUGAAACCGUCGUCUCGACGGCCCCUCUAGGGUGGCCUCCCACUGUCUAGAAAGGAGGUAAAUCAUGAGGGGUUUCGCCUAGCAAUAACAGCGCAUGCAAGGAGAGGUUGAGGCAACUAGUGAAGCAUUGCACAACUAUUGGGAAUUGACUCGAGACCUAUUGGUAGUAACACCCUUGCAUGAGCUAACUGCGUUAGCCGUGGGGGCAAGAUGGAUGCUUUUAUUGACAUGUCAUUCCGAUGUGGUUUGGUUAUAAUAUAGUAUGCUUGCAUUAUACAGCAAUGCAAGUGAUGCUCUGGACUAGCCGAUCCCACCUAGUGGGUUGUAGAUUCCUUAGCCGCUCGGAGUUGACUCUAGACCUAUUGGCAGUAACACCCCUGCAUGAACCAACAACGCUAGCCCGUGGGGGCAAGUUGGGUGCUUUUCUUGACAUGUCAUUCCGAUGUGGUUUGGUUAUAAUAUAAUAUGUUUGCAUUAUACAACAAUGCAAGUGAUGCUCUGGACUAGCCGACCCCAUCUAGUGGGUUGCAGAUUUCUCGCUAAUGAGUGAUGCGGUCAUGAGGGUGACCUGGAAAUUCGCAUCAAGCCUGAUCUAGAUAAUGAGAUAUUGGUAUUGGAAUGACCAAAUAAGAGCUAAUCGAUUGCUUGGAAUUGUUGCUCAGCGUGGAACAUCAACAUUUUUGAAAGCUCUAAAGGAGAAAUCAGGGACAGUGGAGGUUGAGAAAGAAGAGGAACCAAAAGAAGGAGAGGAAGCCAAACCUGAG